AUUGAACGCUGGCGGCAUGCCUUACACAUGCAAGUCGAACGGCAGCGCGGGGCAACCUGGCGGCGAGUGGCGAACGGGUGAGUAACAUAUCGGAACAUACCCUAGAGUGGGGGAUAACGUAGCGAAAGUUACGCUAAUACCGCAUACGCACUAAGGUGGAAAGUGGGGGAUCUUCGGACCUCAUGCUCAUGGAGUGGCCGAUAUCUGAUUAGCUAGUUGGUGAGGUAAAGGCUCACCAAGGCGACGAUCAGUAGCUGGUUUGAGGAG
rnacentral:rRNA from 1 species